rnacentral:rRNA from 1 species
CAGCCGCCGCGGUAAUACGUAGGUGGCAAGCGUUGUCCGGAAUUAUUGGGCGUAAAGGGCUCGCAGGCGGUUUCUUAAGUCUGAUGUGAAAGCCCCCGGCUCAACCGGGGAGGGUCAUUGGAAACUGGGAAACUUGAGUGCAGAAGAGGAGAGUGGAAUUCCACGUGUAGCGGUGAAAUGCGUAGAGAUGUGGAGGAACACCAGUGGCGAAGGCGACUCUCUGGUCUGUAACUGACGCUGAGGAGCGAAAGCGUGGGGAGCGAACAGGAUUAGAUGCCCCUGUAGUCCCUGUCUCUUAUAA